GAUGAACGCUGGCGGCGUGCCUAAUACAUGCAAGUCGAGCGAACGGACGAGAAGCUUGCUUUUCUGAUGUUAGCGGCGGACGGGUGAGUAACACGUGGAUAACCUACCUAUAAGACUGGGAUAACUUCGGGAAACCGGAGCUAAUACCGGAUAAUAUUUUGAACCGCAUGGUUCAAAAGUGAAAGACGGUCUUGCUGUCACUUAUAGAUGGAUCCGCGCUGCAUUAGCUAGUUGGUAAGGUAACGGCUUACCAAGGCAACGAUGCAUAGCCGACCUGAGAGGGUGAUCGGCCACACUGGAACUGAGACACGGUCCAGACUCCUACGGGAGGCAGCAGUAGGGAAUCUUCCGCAAUGGGCGAAAGCCUGACGGAGCAACGCCGCGUGAGUGAUGAAGGUCUUCGGAUCGUAAAACUCUGUUAUUAGGGAAGAACAUAUGUGUAAGUAACUGUGCACAUCUUGACGGUACCUAAUCAGAAAGCCACGGCUAACUACGUGCCAGCAGCCGCGGUAAUACGUAGGUGGCAAGCGUUAUCCGGAAUUAUUGGGCGUAAAGCGCGCGUAGGCGGUUUUUUAAGUCUGAUGUGAAAGCCCACGGCUCAACCGUGGAGGGUCAUUGGAAACUGGAAAACUUGAGUGCAGAAGAGGAAAGUGGAAUUCCAUGUGUAGCGGUGAAAUGCGCAGAGAUAUGGAGGAACACCAGUGGCGAAGGCGACUUUCUGGUCUGUAACUGACGCUGAUGUGCGAAAGCGUGGGGAUCAAACAGGAUUAGAUACCCUGGUAGUCCACGCCGUAAACGAUGAGUGCUAAGUGUUAGGGGGUUUCCGCCCCUUAGUGCUGCAGCUAACGCAUUAAGCACUCCGCCUGGGGAGUACGACCGCAAGGUUGAAACUCAAAGGAAUUGACGGGGACCCGCACAAGCGGUGGAGCAUGUGGUUUAAUUCGAAGCAACGCGAAGAACCUUACCAAAUCUUGACAUCCUUUGACAACUCUAGAGAUAGAGCCUUCCCCUUCGGGGGACAAAGUGACAGGUGGUGCAUGGUUGUCGUCAGCUCGUGUCGUGAGAUGUUGGGUUAAGUCCCGCAACGAGCGCAACCCUUAAGCUUAGUUGCCAUCAUUAAGUUGGGCACUCUAAGUUGACUGCCGGUGACAAACCGGAGGAAGGUGGGGAUGACGUCAAAUCAUCAUGCCCCUUAUGAUUUGGGCUACACACGUGCUACAAUGGACAAUACAAAGGGCAGCGAAACCGCGAGGUCAAGCAAAUCCCAUAAAGUUGUCCUCAGUUCGGAUUGUAGUCUGCAACUCGACUACAUGAAGCUGGAAUCGCUAGUAAUCGUAGAUCAGCAUGCUACGGUGAAUACGUUCCCGGGUCU
rnacentral:rRNA from 1 species